GUUUUUUGGUGAUUUUCUGAUGGAUCGAGGAAGUUGAAGGUUCUUACAGGUUUGUUAACCAAUAUUUCUAUUAUCAACUUUCGAUUCCGAUUCGUUCUCUUCUCAGUUUCCUCUUGGAAUUCUCUUUUUGUGCGAGGUGGAGAACGAACUGUGGAUUGAAAUUGAGAGAACUCGAAGAGCGAAUCCUCUUUUGUGGAGAUGCAGGUUUGCUUGAAGAUUGGUGAUGAUUGAAGGUUGCCACGUGAAGAUUCAAGGUUGUUGAGUGGUGAUUGAAGAUUGUUGAUGAACGCCGUAGUGAUGAUUAGAGCUUGUUAUGUUGAAGAUUGAAUGAGAUUGAAGAGGGAGGUUCUGAAGAAUUCACGAGGAAAGGUUGAAGAUGACCGAGAAAAGUUUGUUACCGAUUCGGUUACGUUCUCUCUAAUCCUUUUCUGUUCUUCUCUUUGUGAACUUUGUUACAAUUUUUUUUGGUGAUUGAAUUGAAGAGAAGAUGAUGAAUAUCAUAUGAUUUUGCAGGGAUGAAUGAAGGUUUUUGUGAUGAUUUUGCUAUAGGUUGAAGAAGAUGGAUCGUGAAUUGAGAGAGAAGGGAGAGUAUGAAGGUGCGGGUUCCUUCGGUCAUAUUUGGUUUGGAAGCAGCUUGGAGAUACGAGAUUAUGAUAAUUCGCCUCUGAUAGAAAACUGUUUCCCUUUUUCUGUACAUGCCUUUUUGUAAAUUGAAUUUUGAAUGUAUGGAUAUUGGAUUGUAUUCUUGAAUUGGUGUCUGGGAUGUAAUGAAUUUGUAAUGGACAUUUGACAUUUUUGUAUUGAAGAUGGAA